rnacentral:rRNA from 1 species
AUGACGCACGAUGCAGCCGCCGAAGCCACCACCACGAAGCUGCUCGCCGUGCUCGAGAAGCCACGGCGGAACAUGUACGCCUUCGCCUGCGUCACGCUCGCCUCCAUGACCACAAUCGUCACGGGCUACAAUCUCGCCUUGAUGAGCGGCGCGGAGCUCUUCAUCCGCGAGGACCUGGGCCUCACCGACACGCAGGUCGAGCUGCUCGCGGGGUCCAUGAACGUGUUCAUGCUCGCGUCCAUCCUCUUCUCCGGCUGGACGGCCGACCUCCUGGGCCGCCGCGUCACGCUUGUGGUCGCCAACGCCUUCCUCACGGCCGGCGCGCUCGCCAUGUCCCUUGGCGGCGGCUACGCGGCGCUCAUGGCUGCGCGCUUCGUCACCAGCAUCGGCAUGGGGCUCGCCCUCGUCGUCGCGCCGGUCUACAACGCCGAGAUCUCGCCGCCGUCCACGCGUGGCGUGCUCUCGUCGCUGCUCGACAUUUUUAUCAACGUCGGCAUCCUUCUCGGCUACACGUCCAACUACGCCUUGGCCGACCUGCCGGCGCACCUCGCCUGGCGCAUCAUGUACGCCAUCGGGGUGCUCCCGCCCGUGCUCCUAGCCGUGGGGGUGCUCGCCAUGCCGGAGUCGCCUCGAUGGCUCGCCAUGCGCGGACGCCACGCCGAGGCGCGCGCGGUGCUCUGGCGCACCUCCGACACCGCCGAGGAGGCCGACGUCCGCCUCGAGGACAUAAAGCGGACCUUUGAUGCGCCGCAGGCUGCUGGCUCCGUGUGGCAGGAGCUGAUCGUCCGGCCGUCGGCGACAGUCAGGCGAAUCCUCAUAUGCGUUGUCGGGCUGCACUUCUUCCAGGAGGCGUCCGGCAUCGACGCCGUCGUUCUGUACAGCCCGCUGGUGUUUAACAAGGCCGGCAUGUCCGCGACUAGCUCCAUACUAGGCGCCACCGUGGCCGUCGGGGUCGUCAAGACGUGCUUCAUCUUCGUGGCCAUGCUCCUGGUCGACCGCGUAGGCCGGCGCCCGCUCCUGCUGGCCAGCGCCGGCGGCGUCGCGGUGUCCUUCACCGCUCUGGCGCUCACGCUCUGCGUCCGCGAGACAUCGUCGGCGAGCGCAGCCGCGUCCGUGGCGUCCGUGAUGGCGUUCGUGGCGGCGUUCUCCGUCGGGUUCGGGCCGCUCGCGUCCACGUACGCCGCGGAGAUCAUGCCGCUGCGGCUGCGCGCGCAGGGCGCGGGCCUCGGCAUGGCGGUCAACCGGCUGACGUGCGGGGCGGUGAGCAUGUCGUUCAUAUCCCUCGCCGGGUGGAUAACGAUGCCUGGGUGCUUCUUCCUUUAUGCCGGCGUGGCGGCGACGGCGUGCGUGUUCGUGCACCUGCGGCUGCCGGAGACGAGGGGCCGGAGCUUGGAGGAUAUGGAGGCCCUCUUCGCCAAAUGA